ensembl:lncRNA
GUGGAACAAAAGAAACUUUCCUAAGAGCCACUUACCAGACAAAGCUGCUGUACUCAUUGCCUGGGGCAGAAGUAAGCACCAGAAUCACCAAGGAGUGUCACACUGAGGUUAAGAACAAGCUGACACUGGACAUCAAAUACUACAAACUCAGAAUAUCCUCUACUUCACCUCUGCAAGAUGGAGUUUUACACAUUCCCUGUGAAGCCAUGCUUCUAGUUUGAAGUGCUGACACCUGAAGUAGGCUGACAUGUCCUCACCACUCGCUCCCCCUUAUCGGGGACACACAGGCAGCUUCCUCACACAGCAGCCUGGACCAGCGCUGCCACUUUUAACCUGCUUCCUCAGACUAGCGCAGCGGUGUUUUCAUAUUCCUCACGGUGAUUCUGAAUGAAU